rnacentral:rRNA from 1 species
GACGAACGCUGGCGGCGUGCCUAAUACAUGCAAGUCGAGCGGACGGAUGGGAGCUUGCUCCCAGACCGUCAGCGGCGGACGGGUGAGUAACACGUGGGCAACCUGCCUGUAAGACUGGGAUAACUCCGGGAAACCGGGGCUAAUACCGGACAACUCUUUCCCUCACAUGAGGGAAAGCUGAAAGAUGGCAUCUCGCUAUCACUUACAGAUGGGCCCGCGGCGGAUUAGCUAGUUGGUGAGGUAACGGCUCACCAAGGCGACGAUGCGUAGCCGACCUGAGAGGGUGAUCGGCCACACUGGGACUGAGACACGGCCCAGACUCCUACGGGAGGCAGCAGUAGGGAAUCUUCCACAAUGGGCGAAAGUCUGACGGAGCAACGCCGCGUGAGUGAUGAAGGUUUUCGGAUCGUAAAACUCUGUUGUCAGGGAAGAACAGGUACCGGAGUAACAGCCGGUACCUUGACGGUACCUGACCAGAAAGCCACGGCUAACUACGUG